rnacentral:siRNA from 1 species
CCCCCUAUAUAGCUUAAUAGCCC